rnacentral:rRNA from 1 species
AUUGAACGCUGGCGGCAGGCCUAACACAUGCAAGUCGAACGAGUGGCGGACGGGAGAGUAAUGGCUGGGAAACUGCCAGAUGGAGGGGGAUAACUACUGGAAACGGUAGCUAAUACCGCAUACCCUAGGAUGUGCCCAGAUGGGAUUAGCUAGUAGGUGGGGUAACGGCUACCCUAGGCGACGAUCCCUAGCUGGUCUGAGAGGCUGACCAGCCACACGGGAACUGAGACACGGUCCAGACUCCUACGGGAGGCAGCAGGGGGGAAUAUUGCACAAUGGGCGCAAGCCUGAUGCAGCCAUGCCGCGUGUAUGAAGAAGGCCUUCGGGUUGUAAAGUACUUUCAGCGAGGAGGCGGUACUCGCAGAAGAAGCACCGGCUAACUCCGUGCCAGCAGCCGCGGUAAUUC